ACCUGGCUGGCUCAGUCCAUAGAGCAUGUGACUCUUGAUCUCAGGGCUAUGAGUUUAAGCCCCAUGUGGGGUA
rnacentral:tRNA from 1 species